UUAGGAAUAUUAGGAAUGGACGAAAGUCUGAUCUAGCAACACCGCGUGUGCGAAGAAGACCUUCGGGUCGUAAAGCACUUUUUGGAAGGAAUAGGAAGGAAUGUACUUCCAGAAUAAGUCUCGGCUAACUACGUGCCAGCAGCCGCGGUAACACGUAGGAGGCAAACGUUAUCCGGAUUUACUGGGCGUAAAGCGCGUGUAGGUGGUACUGUAAGUAGGGCGUGAAAGCUCCUGGCUCAACUGGGAGAGGCCGUUCUAAACUACAGAACUAGAGGAUGGUAGAGGGAGGUGGAAUUCCAGGUGUAGCGGUGGAAUGCGCAGAUAUCUGGAGGAACACCGGUGGCGAAGGCGGCCUCCUGGACCAGUCCUGACACUCAGACACGAAAGCUAAGGUAGCAAACG
rnacentral:rRNA from 1 species